CAAGUUUUUAAGGGCGCACGGUGGAUGCCUUGGCACCAGGAACCGAUGAAGGACGUGGGAGGCCACGAUAGGCCCCGGGGAGCUGUCAACCGAGCUUUGAUCCGGGGGUGUCCGAAUGGGGAAACCCGGCAGUCGUCAUGGGCUGUCACCCGCUGCUGAACACAUAGGCAGUGUGGAGGGAACGCGGGGAAGUGAAACAUCUCAGUACCCGCAGGAAGAGAAAACAACCGUGAUUCCGGGAGUAGUGGCGAGCGAAACUGGAUGAGGCCAAACCAGUCACGUGUGAUACCCGGCAGGGGUUGCGUGGUUGGGGUUGUGGGAUCUCUCUUUUGCAGUCUGCCGGCUGUGAGGCGAGUCAGAAACCGUUGAUGUAGGCGAAGGACAUGCGAAAGGUCCGGCGUAGAGGGUAAGACCCCCGUAGCUGAAACAUUAGCGGCUCGUUUGAGAGACACCCAAGUAGCACGGGGCCCGAGAAAUCCCGUGUGAAUCUGGCGGGACCACCCGUUAAGCCUAAAUAUUCCCUGGUGACCGAUAGCGGAUAGUACCGUGAGGGAAUGGUGAAAAGUACCGCGGGAGCGGAGUGAAAUAGUACCUGAAACCGUGUGCCUACAAGCCGUGGGAGCGUCGCUGGUGAGUUUACUCAUCAGUCGUGACUGCGUGCCUUUUGAAGAAUGAGCCUGCGAGUUUGCGGUAUGUUGCGAGGUUAACCCGUGUGGGGAAGCCGUAGCGAAAGCGAGUCCGAAUAGGGCGUGGAGUAGCAUGCUCAAGACCCGAAGCGGAGUGAUCUAGCCAUGGGCAGGUUGAAGCGGAGGUAAGACUUCGUGGAGGACCGAACCCACCAGGGUUGAAAACCUGGGGGAUGACCUGUGGUUAGGGGUGAAAGGCCAAUCAAACUCCGUGAUAGCUGGUUCUCCCCGAAAUGCAUUUAGGUGCAGCGUCGUGUGUUUCUUGCCGGAGGUAGAGCACUGGAUAGGCGAUGGGCCCUACCGGGUUACUGACCUUAGCCAAACUCCGAAUGCCGGUAAGUGAGAGCGCGGCAGUGAGACUGUGGGGGAUAAGCUCCAUGGUCGAGAGGGAAACAGCCCAGAGCAUCGACUAAGGCCCCUAAGCGUGUGCUAAGUGGGAAAGGAUGUGGAGUCGCAGAGACAACCAGGAGGUUGGCUUAGAAGCAGCCACCCUUGAAAGAGUGCGUAAUAGCUCACUGGUCAAGUGAUUCCGCGCCGACAAUGUAGCGGGGCUCAAGUACACCGCCGAAGUCGUGUCAUUGCGAUAUUACUCCUAACGGGGAUCGUGAUGGGUAGGGGAGCGUCGUGUGCCGGGUGAAGCAGCCGUGGAAACGAGUUGUGGACGGUUCACGAGUGAGAAUGCAGGCAUGAGUAGCGAUACAAGAGUGGGAAACUCUUGCGCCGAUUGACUAAGGGUUCCUGGGUCAAGCUGAUCUGCCCAGGGUAAGUCGGGACCUAAGGCGAGGCCGACAGGCGUAGUCGAUGGACAACCGGUUGAUAUUCCGGUACCCGCUUUGAAGCGCCCAAUACUGAAUCAGGCGAUGCUAAGUCCGUGAAGCCGCCCUGGAGCCUUCGGGCAAAGGGGAGUGGUGGAGCCGACGGACCAGACUUGUAGUAGGUAAGCGAUGGGGUGACGCAGGAAGGUAGUCCAGCCCGGGCGGUGGUUGUCCCGGGGUAAGGGUGUAGGCCGUGUGGUAGGUAAAUCCGUCGCACGUUAAGGCUGAGACCUGAUGCCGAGCCGAUUGUGGUGAAGUGGAUGAUCCUAUGCUGUCGAGAAAAGCCUCUAGUGAGUUUCAAGGCGGCCCGUACCCUAAACCGACUCAGGUGGUCAGGUAGAGAAUACCGAGGCGUUCGGGUGAACUAUGGUUAAGGAACUCGGCAAAAUGCCCCCGUAACUUCGGGAGAAGGGGGGCCAUUUCUGGUGAGGGAACUUGCUUCCUGAGCUGGGGGUGGCCGCAGAGACCAGCGAGAAGCGACUGUUUACUAAAAACACAGGUCCGUGCGAAGCCGUAAGGCGAUGUAUACGGACUGACGCCUGCCCGGUGCUGGAACGUUAAGGGGACCGGUUAGCUUGGAUUCGUUCAGGCGAAGCUGAGAACUUAAGCGCCAGUAAACGGCGGUGGUAACUAUAACCAUCCUAAGGUAGCGAAAUUCCUUGUCGGGUAAGUUCCGACCUGCACGAAUGGCGUAACGACUUCUCGACUGUCUCAACCAUAGGCCCGGUGAAAUUGCAUUACGAGUAAAGAUGCUCGUUUCGCGCAGCAGGACGGAAAGACCCCGGGACCUUUACUAUAGCUUGAUAUUGGUGUUCGGUUCGGCUUGUGUAGGAUAGGUGGGAGACUGUGAAGCGCCAACGCCAGUUGGUGUGGAGUCGUUGUUGAAAUACCACUCUGGUCGUGCUGGAUGUCUAACCUGGGUCCGUGAUCCGGAUCAGGGACAGUGUCUGGUGGGUAGUUUAACUGGGGCGGUUGCCUCCUAAAGAGUAACGGAGGCGCCCAAAGGUUCCCUCAGCCUGGUUGGUAAUCAGGUGUUGAGUGUAAGUGCACAAGGGAGCUUGACUGUGAGACUGACGGGUCGAGCAGGUACGAAAGUAGGGACUAGUGAUCCGGCGGUGGCUUGUGGAAGCGCCGUCGCUCAACGGAUAAAAGGUACCCCGGGGAUAACAGGCUGAUCUUCCCCAAGAGUCCAUAUCGACGGGAUGGUUUGGCACCUCGAUGUCGGCUCGUCGCAUCCUGGGGCUGGAGUCGGUCCCAAGGGUUGGGCUGUUCGCCCAUUAAAGCGGUACGCGAGCUGGGUUUAGAACGUCGUGAGACAGUUCGGUCCCUAUCCGCUGUGCGCGUAGGAGUCUUGAGAAGGGCUGUCCCUAGUACGAGAGGACCGGGACGGACGAACCUCUGGUGUGCCAGUUGUUCUGCCAAGGGCAUGGCUGGUUGGCUACGUUCGGAAAGGAUAACCGCUGAAAGCAUCUAAGCGGGAAGCCUGCUUCGAGAUGAGGGCUCCCUCCUCCUUGAGAGGGUAAGGCUCCCAGUAGACGACUGGGUUGAUAGGCCAGAUAUGGAAGCACUGUAAGGUGUGGAGUUGACUGGUACUAAUAGGCCGAGGGCUUGUCC
rnacentral:rRNA from 1 species